CAGCAGCCGCGGUAAUACGAAGGGGGCUAGCGUUGCUCGGAAUGACUGGGCGUAAAGGGCGCGUAGGCGGCGGCCAAAGUCAGGCGUGAAAUUCCCGGGCUCAACCUGGGGGCUGCGUUUGAUACUUGGUUGCUUGAGUGGGGAAGAGGGUCGUGGAAUUCCCAGUGUAGAGGUGAAAUUCGUAGAUAUUGGGAAGAACACCGGUGGCGAAGGCGGCGACCUGGUCCUUUACUGACGCUGAGGCGCGAAAGCGUGGGGAGCAAACAGGAUUAGAGACCCCAGUAGUCCCUGUCUCUUAUAC
rnacentral:rRNA from 1 species